AGCAGCAGCCGUCAGUGUGAGAUCAGCUCCUCUAAAGAUAACUGUUUCCACACUUUCUCCAAGAUCGUCCUCAACAAUGAGAACAACUCUGGGACGUACUACUGUGCUGUGGUGACCAGCAAUGAGAUUGUCUUUAGCGCUGGAGCAACAUUAGAUUUCAACAGGUCUGAUGAUCGCACUACGUUCAGUCUGGAAGUGGCUUUUGGUGUGUCUGUGAUUUGGAUCAUUGCUCAAGCUGUUCUAAUCUGUAAGAGGACUCAGUGCAAACACUGCAGGGGCCUACAGGAGAAGCCAGCUAGUCAGGGCCACUACACUUCCUCUAGACUGAGGCUGAAGCGAGGACAGUCUGAUGUGAACUCUAAAGUGCAAUACUCCACAUUUACUGAUCAUCAAACUCAGUAGCUUUUAUCAUUUCCAAUCUACAUCUAUAUACAUCUAUAAUCGUUCACUAUGACUGUGAUCAUUAAUUAACAAUCCUCCAUUAUACAAUAAAAUGUUGUAAAUUCACAUCUCUUUAAAUCUUUUUUAAUUAAUGUUUUAUUUUGCUCUGUGACUGUGAGAAUAAAUAAUUCUGUGUGUGUUUUUAUUGCAAAUUCCCUCUUUUUGACCUCUACUGUUUCCAUUGGUGGAGAUCUGUAGUAAAGCUUCACACAGUGUUUAGGAAAAUACUGUAUAUCAUAGGUGUUGAAAGUGGGUGAGAGGAAACUGUUGAAUGUAGUUUCAGUUCUCUAAAGGAGAGAUGUGUGAAACUCAGCUCAGUAGAAUUUUUCACACGUGAUAAACUAACAGACUGAUGGUGUGUGAUAAGAUUCAGCCCGUGUGGAAAUGUAGGUCUUUCUGAUGUAGUACCUUUCAGAUUUAAUAUUGACUGCUUUUGUUGUUCAAAUAUUUAAAAGCAAAUGUGAAUCUGUACUUUUACUAAUAAACAAUGUUCAGCUUUUACCUAUUAGACAGAGAGUAAAUGCAUAAGCUGAUAUUUCUGUUGUCUGGUUUUAUUAAAUAAACUUUCCUGUUUUGAUAAUA